AGGUGGGCGGAGGCUCCGCAGCUUCAUUUCGUCCAGUCCCUUCCAGUAUUUAAAAUUGUUGUCAAGAUGCUGCAUUAGCUCAGGCAGGUCUACAAAGGCUAGAGAAAAAAGAUGGCACUGUGAUACCCUUUCACAGCCUCAGUAAAUUUAGACUUGGAGGCUUUCUAAGGAGAGAGCAUUUUACGGAAGAGGGGCAGACAGGAGUAGACAACUGCACAGUGCUCAGCAGACACAGCAAACCCAGCGGCCGGAAUGAACUAAAGCCAAGUCCCGUGCUCAGUGCGAGCAGCUCCUCUGUAACCACCUGGUGAGCUGACAACUGGUAGGUGAAGCAGAAGGGGAGCUCAUCUGCAUACUCACCAUUUUAUCAGCACCUUUGGGGCCCAGGGUGCCAGGAGCCAGGCCCUAGGCCCUGACUGGCUCUCCUGGGUGUGUCUCCCUGCUCCUCCCCCCCCACCCUAAUUUAUACCACCAUCUUCCACCUGCAGCACAUGCCCUAGGGCAUGAGUGGGGAGCAAGUCAUUUUACAUACGAAGAAAAUGGGGCCAGGAGAGGCCAUGAAUCUGGACUCAAGGAGCUGCGGAGCCUGCAGUCUGGCCCCAAAGCUGCAGCUCUUUCCACCGUCUGAGUCGUCCUUCCCCCCACCUCCCAGCACCCUGAGAUGGGGGUUUGUCUCCUGCCCAUGGAUCUGGACAGGGAGUAUUAGUGGGGCCCCUUCCCUGAGAGUCCUUUACGUGACAGGCUCCUGCAGGCACCUGAGGUUAAAGAAGAGGGACGUGUACCCGUCAGAGACCAGCCUGCUCUCGGGUCGGCUACCACGUGAGGCGGGAGAAGCUGGGGGAGCAGAUGGCAAAAGGGCUCCCACAGAACGACGUGGGGUUUGGAGUCAACAUAAGUGUUUCUGAAUCCUGGGCUCUCCACCACCGGCUGUGCAGCCCCAAGUUCAAUCCUCUCAUCUAUGAAACCGGCACAACAACGUCUAGCCCCUGGGGCCAGGGGCAGCUGAGGAGGAAGAGUACAGACAGCACCCCGCCCUCACGGCCCUCGGUGUCAGCUCACUGCUUCUCCUCAGCCCUUCUUCAAAGUCUGAGCCCCCAAACAUAUCCUACAGUCAAAAACUACACUAUGCACUACUUAAUAUGCAGUUCCCCGUUCCUGAGGGAAAUAUGCCCAAAGCGUUCUUACCGUCCCAAGCAGCAAACAUGUCUGUGAUGAAGUAGUCGAUGAAAGAGAUUUGGGAUUUGGGGAUGCUGCAGGUAUUUCUGUCAAAAACUGGCAUCACCACAGGCAAGUCCUGUCGCUUCUCUUCAUCAGUCUGCAAAGCAGAAAACGCCAGAAUUACGAGACUCCAGUAUCUGGCUCCACUCCCCGUCAGCAGCAACCCCUCUGCCAAAAGCCUCUCCUGGCAGCCCAGAGUGCUCGUGGGGAGAAGCCGAUCACAGCACCAGCCAACAACCCGGAUCUGCCACUACAUACCACGUCGUCCCCGAUGGGGGCUGCUCUAUGCCGGGGCACCAAGGACACCCCAACCCAACCCACAUUUUCAACACCUGGAAACCUCUUGCUGAAGCUCCUGAGGUACGAUUGCAAACGGUACCUGCGGUGCGUGAGCACACUAGUCAGCUCAGCCAUCCUCCCACCCAGCAGGCGUUUCAAGGGCCUGACCCAGGGCGGCAAUGGUGAGUGAGAAACAGCCCCCUUCACGGAGAAGGGACAAGUGGCUGCUGCUCAUCUUGGGCCAAAUUAUUUCAUUUGAAAAAGUUAUGAACACGCUUGAGGUAAAAAAAGAGCUCUGGGAUGAGUUUUUUAUGUACUUUGAUUGAUAGACGCUUCCAGAACAUCUUCAGGAUUCCAGAAAGAUUUGUAAAAAACUGAAAAUAUAAUUAAGAUCCUGGGGGGAAAGGCAAGUAUAUCUUGAAAGAUAUAAAGGAGUUUCUUGUUCUUUUUAUUCAUAAGGUUGCUUUCAUCAAAGGGUCCUGGAGAAAAGGAUGAGGGGAUGCCUGGAGGGUGACGAUGAAGCAGGAGGUCUUCCUGGAACGAGGCGGGAAUGAGGUGCGAUUAGAAUCACCGAGAGGUCCCUGCUGGAGCAGGCAACCAGGGCUGAGAGUUAAGCAGACGGUCACACGAGGGGCAGGAUGAGGGGGACUGAGUGUAGGACAAGUAAGGCCGGGGCGGGCCUGGCUAGAAGGGCUGGAGCCAUCCUCUGGCUCUGGAAGGCACAGCUGUCCUCAGGGGCACCUGGAUCAUUGUUCCUGAUGGUCCGGGCAGGCUGCCCUGUUGGGCCAGGCAUAGUGAGAAGAUGACAGAGGGGUGGCGAUCCUGGGACGAGAUAAAUUGUUGACCAGUCGGGGCCUGUGGAGAGCCGGUCAGUGAGAGCAAGGGCUGAGGACAGGAGGUACGUGGUGUGCUUGGCCAUCUGCCAGAAGCCUGACUCUGGUGGCUGAACUCUGUGGGCCAUCUGGGGCUGUGGGAGAGUGGAGGACAUUUCUUGAGCAGCCAGCACUGGGACAAGAAUUCAGGUUCAGCGGGACCAAAAGAAAACCUACUCUUGGGGCUGGGAGCCUGUCCGUCCAACUCUUACCCCUGGAACUGUUCUCACAGGGCAAACUGGGCCAGUCCCCCUUGUUGAUCUUGACAACUGACCAGGAGCUGCCUCCCCUGUUCCGUUCCACUUCUGUUCUGCUGUCUCGGCUGAGGCCUGGCAAUCACCAGCAGGGCCGCAGGGACUGGUUAGAAGUCACCUUGCCCUGCACAAAGGUGGAUCCGAGGCCCGGGCGACUGGAAGAACUAGGCCUCACAGCUAAUGGCAGGUGACUUUCCCUGGAAGUGACAAUGACUCACUACAGCUCUCAACAUGGAAUCUCCACUUGGGGGCAGCAGGUACAUGGAGCUUCUCAGGCCCUUAUUUGCUUUUGAAGACCACUGUUUGCCAAUGAAGUCCUCCGUGCCCAUGCCCCACUCCUAGGCCACCAAUGAGAUCUCCAUGCCUGGGAGACAGUCAAAGAUUCUACAGUAACCAAGUGAACCUCCAAUUAAGAAAAAGUCAUUCAAAAUGGAAUUAAGAAGCUGCAUCUUACCUGAGAAAAAUAUUCUUCUGAGAUACGUGCGGCCCACUCAAUGCACUGCUCCAGGGGUCGGCAGGGAUUGGACACGUCAGCACACUUAAUCAGCAUUCGUUUGAUCAGACUGCGGUUGUCUGGAGUUCUGAGCAUAGUGAUUAUGGCUUCUUGAUUUUUAUCAGUUUCCUAAAACGUGUGUGACUACACUGACUACAGUACUUGCCAGCUGGAAACUAUUUUCUUUCAUGAUACUUUGUCCCUGCUCUGACCCGCUGGAUACUGAUUUCCAGUCUCUCAGAAGUAACUCCAAGUACCGACGAAAGAGAUGAGAAACGUUGACUGUCAAGUGGAAUGGAAGACUCAGCUAAGUCUAGGAACUUCCCAGAAUAGAUGGAGGAAACCCAAGUCUACGAGGUAUGUGGUUUCUUUCUGUGGGAAUGGGGUCAGCCAGGAGCAGUAGCCCAGGCAAUAACCAGCCCUCUCCAGGAUGGCAGGGCAUGAGUCAGUGAGAGGCUGGUGUGGGUGCCUCUGCUCUGCAAGUCCUUGGGAAGGGAGUGAGGUCAAAGGCAGACUGACAAACUGGAGAACAGGGAAGGGUGAGGGGAGCAGAGUUCUCAACAGGUUUCCAAUCAGGUGAAACAGGAACAAGGGUGAAGGGUAAUAAGCUAGAAAGCCAGAGAUAGUCAAAAGCCAUGGCCUAACACAUGAGUUGCAGAAGUAGAGUUAGAAUUCAAGGAGCUGUCAUCCUAGCCUGAGGAUAAGUCAUCCCUGUGCGUGGUGACAGGCGCUGGGGAGGAGGAAUGUGGAAAAGGCUGUGAGCUGAUGCCGAGAUGUUCAGUGCACAUGGGGUGGUAGGGCAGGCACGUGGGCCUCAAAGGAAGAGGGUUCAUGAGAAGAGCAUGUUCUCUAGGUGCUGCUCUCACCAUGAAUCUAGUAUAACAGAUACCAUCUAUUCAGUGCCUACCUUGUGCCAUGCCCAUCAGUCCUAUGCCUUGAGACCUGUUAUACCCAUUCUACAGACAAGGAAGUGGUGAAGGAGAACUAGGAUGAGAACUCAGACUGGGCUGCUUCCUCAGCCGUGGUCUCCUGCCUGGGGAAAGGGUUAAUGUCCUCCUUGCCAGGAAGUUGUUCUGGGCUCCAUGCCUCAAAUCCAAAAAUGAGGAGCAACGAUAAUAUCACCCUUGUGGGCCAAAUACAGAAUCCUUCCCAACCCCACCCUCCUCUGACACAGACCAACAGAGGACAGCUGCUGCUACCACAGAAUAUGCACGGCAGGGCGUGGCUGGUGAGAGACCUCAUGGGCUCCAACGGACCCCAAAAUGCACAAGAAGAGGGGAAGGGGGCAACUGUUGAGAAAGGGCUCAGGAAUGGCCCACCCAUCUAAAGGUAGUUUAUCUAAAACCUGACCCUCCCUUCAGAGUUUUCAUAUCUAUUUUUGUAUAUCCUAUUUUUUUUUCCUUCCAAGUUUUUGUACUUUCACUUUUUAACCAAUGGAAAUUAAAUUCAGUGAGCCCAAUGGUGGUAAUGAUAACACUCAUGAUAUCCCAGGCCCAUGCUUCCCCACAACACAUAGGGAUAAGGGCCCCAAACAGGCUCCCUCUGCAACCAGCUCGCUUACCCCAUCUUCCUCUAAUGCUGCCAAGGGCUUGUUGACGCUGUUGACAAAUUUGUUGACGUGCUC